rnacentral:tRNA from 1 species
ACACUAGUGGCUCAGUGGUAAAGAAUCUGCCUGCAAUGCAGGAGAUCUAGGUUCAAUCCCUGGGUAGAGAA